rnacentral:tRNA from 1 species
GGGCGAUUAGCUCAGCUGGUUAGAGCACCUGCCUUACACGCAGGGUGUCGGGGGUUCGAAUCCCUCAUCGCCCACCA